UACGAAGGGGGCUAGCGUUGCUCGGAAUUACUGGGCGUAAAGGGCGCGUAGGCGGAUGUUUAAGUCAGAGGUGAAAGCCCAGGGCUCAACCUUGGAACUGCCUUUGAUACUGGACAUCUUGAGUGUGGGAGAGGUGAGUGGAACUCCGAGUGUAGAGAUGAAAUCGUAGAUAUUCGCAAGAACACCAGUGGCGAAGGCGGCUCACUGGCCCGGAACUGACGCUGAGACGCGAAAGCGUGGGGAGCAAACAGG
rnacentral:rRNA from 1 species